rnacentral:lncRNA from 1 species
UGAAUCACCAUAAAUACAUUUGAAAGCUUACCUGAGCAUCGUGAUUCAUCCAGUGAGAUAUUUCUGAGUUCUUCGGAAUCCCAAAUUCUUCGAUCUUUAAAAACACGAACCGAACCCUUCAAAACUCCAACUCAAAUCACGAAACUUGCUAAUACAAAAUCCCUAACAAUCUCUCCCUUUGACAAUUUCGUGACAAAACUUAAAAGUACAUCACAAAUAAAAAACGAAGUUCAAUGUCAUCGCCAAAACAUCGAACUUCUCGUGUGUAAUCCA